CUUACACCGGUCUGAACUCAAAUCAUGUAAAAUUUUAAAGGUCGAACAGACCUUCUCUUAUAGUCUCUACUCUAUAAAGAACCUUUAAUUCAACAUCGAGGUCGCAAACUUUCUUGUCGAUAAGAACUCUCAAAGAAAAUUACGCUGUUAUCCCUAAAGUAACUUAAUCUUUAAUCCCUUUUAGGAUCAAUAAUUCAAAUAUUAUUGUAAAAAUAAAAGACAGUUAUCCUUUCUUAUAUCCUUGUCGCCCCAACAAAAUAAUUUAAAAUAGUAAUUUUAAAAUAAAAUUAUUUUCCACCUUAAAAUAUAAAGUUUUAUAGGGUCUUAUCGUCCCCUUAGAUCAUUUAAGCCUUUUCACUUAAAAGUUAAAUUCAAUAUAUUAAUUUAAGACAGAUUAUUUCUUGUCCAACCAUUCAUUCUAGCCUUCAAUUAAAAAACUAAUGAUUAUGCUACCUUUGCACGGUCAUAAUACCGCGGCCUUUCAGUUUUCCAAUGGGCAGGUCAGACUUUAUAAAUCUCUCAUACAGA
rnacentral:rRNA from 1 species